GGGGGGGCAAGCGUUGUUCGGAUUUACUGGGCGUAAAGGGCUCGUAGGCGGCCACCUAAGUCGAUUGUGAAAUCCCUCGGCUCAACCGGGGAACUGCGACCGAUACUGGGUGGCUUGAAGCCGGGAGAGGGAUGCGGAAUUCCAGGUGUAGCGGUGAAAUGCGUAGAUAUCUGGAGGAACACCCGUGGCGAAGGCGGCAUCCUGGACCGGCCUUGACGCUGAGGAGCGAAAGCUAGGGGAGCGAACGGGAUUAGAUACCCCGGGUAGUCCUAGCCCUAAACGAUGAAUGCUUGGUGUGGCGGGUAUCGAUCCCCUGCCGUGCCGUAGCUAACGCGUUAAGCAUUCCGCCUGGGGAGUACGGUGCAAGGCUG
rnacentral:rRNA from 1 species